rnacentral:rRNA from 1 species
AUUGAACGCUGGCGGCAGGCCUAACACAUGCAAGUCGAGCGGAGCGGCGGACGGGUGAGUAAUACGUGAGUAACCUGCCCUCCUUUUUGUGAUAAGCCUUGGAAACGGGGUCUACUACCGAAUAAAGGGGGCUGGUCUCGCGCCCUAUCAGCUUGUUGGUGGGGUGAUGGCCUACCAAGGCGGUGACGGGUAGCCGGCCUGCGAGGGUGACCGGGCACAUUGGAACUGGGCUACAGCCCAGAGUCCUACGGGAGGCAGGAAGGGGGGAUAUUGGACGAUAGGCGGACGCCGGAAGCAGCGGCGCGGCGUGGGGGAUGAAGGCUUUCGGGUUGUAAUCCUCUGUCGCUAUCGAACGGGUAGGUGGAGAAGAAGCGCCGGCUAACUACGUGCCAGCAGCCGCGGUAAUUC